rnacentral:rRNA from 1 species
CCUACGGGAGGCAGCAGUGAGGAAUAUUGGUCAAUGGACGAGAGUCUGAACCAGCCAAGUAGCGUGAAGGAUGACUGCCCUAUGGGUUGUAAACUUCUUUUAUAUGGGAAUAAAACAGGGUAUGCAUACCCUCUUGUAUGUACCAUAUGAAUAAGGAUCGGCUAACUCCGUGCCAGCAGCCGCGGUAAUACGGAGGAUCCGAGCGUUAUCCGGAUUUAUUGGGUUUAAAGGAGCGUAGGUGGAUUGUUAAGUCAGUUGUGAAAGUUUGCGGCUCAACCGUAAAAUUGCAGUUGAAACUGGCAGUCUGGAGUACAGUAGAGGUGGGCGGAAUUCGUGGUGUAGCGGUGAAAUGCUUAGAUAUCACGAAGAACUCCGAUUGCGAAGGCAGCUCACUGGACUGCAACUGACACUGAUGCUCGAAAGUGUGGGUAUCAAACAGGAUUAGAUACCCCUGUAGUC